GGUUCCCCUUAGACCAUGACGCUUGGAUUCAAUUGGAUGGAAUUCUACCAUCUUUGAAAAAGUUCUGCAAGCUAGCAGAGUUGCUUGAUAUGUCAUUGAAGUCCAUCGCAACAUGUUGGGAAAGUGGAGACCUAGUUAGAUGUGGUUUCACAUCAUCUGAGGUGCAGAAUUUCAUCAAAGCAAUAUUCGCUGACUCGCCUCUUAGGAAGGAGUGCCUAGGAUGGAUCGUUAGGACUCCAGCUUAGAAUACAGAAACAGCAUAUUUCUGUCUGUGGGUCAAUGAUUUUUUUUCAUAUUCUUUUGUCCACCAUACCAUAUAGUGAAGUAUUAUUUGGUAUGAGCCCAGUUUGCACUGGAGACAGACUUGCAAUCUGACUCCCCAGUUCAAUACUCA